rnacentral:lncRNA from 1 species
AUGCAAUAAGAAACUCUAGGAAAGAGACAGUUAUGAUUUAUCAAACUGAAGUUUAGGUCAUGUUUAUAAAGAUCAACAUAGAUUCGCAAUAUAUGAGGGGCUUGCUUUUUCCAGGACAAGCAAGAAUCCAUUUUACAUCUUAUGAUUUAGCCUUUGUACCUGAGGAAAGAUGCCAGGAGGCUCUAAUCUAUGAAGACAAAAAUCCUGGGCCUUCUCCAGCAACAUGCUCCUUGCUGCUGUUUAUUUGUUGA